rnacentral:tRNA from 1 species
GAGAGUGUAGCUCAGUGGUAGAGCACUUGCUUAACGUGCACGAUGCCCUUGGUUCCAUCCCUAAACACUGUCU